CCUACGGGGGGCAGCAGUGGGGAAUAUUGCACAAUGGGGGAAACCCUGAUGCAGCAACGCCACGUGAGCGAUGAAGGCCUUCGGGUCGUAAAGCUCUGUCCUAAGGGAAGAAUACUGACGGUACCUUAGGAGGAAGCCCCGGCUAACUACGUGCCAGCAGCCGCGGUAAUACGUAGGGGGCUAGCGUUAUCCGGAAUUACUGGGCGUAAUGGGUGCGUAGGCGGCCCUUCAAGACAGAUGUGAAAGGAUACGGCUCAACUGUAGUAAGCCUUUGAAACUGUAGGGCUUGAGUGCAGGAGGGGAGAGUGGAAGUCCCAAUUUAGCGGUGAAAUGCGUAGAUAUUGGGAGGAACACCAGGUGCGAAUGCUGCGCUCUGAACUGUAACUGACGCUGAGGCACGAAAGCGUGUGGAGCGAACAGGAUUAGAUACCCCGGUAGUC
rnacentral:rRNA from 1 species